UACAGAGGGUGCAAGCGUUAAUCGGAGUUACUGGGCGUAAAGGGCGCGUAGGUGGCUUCUCAAGCGUGCGGUGAAAGCCUGGGGCUCAACCCCGGGUCGGCCGUGCGAACUGGGGGGCUUGAGCACUGUAGAGGCAGGCGGAAUUCCGGGUGUAGCGGUGGAAUGCGUAGAGAUCCGGAAGAACACCGGUGGCGAAGGCGGCCUGCUGGGCAGUUUAGCUGACACUGAGGCGCGACAGCGUGGGGAGCAAACAGG
rnacentral:rRNA from 1 species